AGGCUCAGAACCUGGAAGUUCUUUAACCUCACAGCUAUGGUAGAUGCCUGGUCCUGAUAAAUGGAGUAAUUUGAUACGCACCAUGGAGCGUUGACAAUAUUUUGUUGUAAUAUUUCUGUAUUGAAGGUACUUUCAGUGCCGCAAAGUUUUGAAGCAACUGUCUAUACUGGUUUAAUUUUUUCAGGCAAGUCUACGGUCCAAAUUUAUCCCCAGUUACUUCACAGAAUCAUAUUGCGGGAUUGCAAUAUUAUCAAGUCUAACUUGUGGACAGUAUGUUUAGUAGAUAUGUGUGCUUUAUCCUCUAUCAAUGAUUUUACUUGAGUUUUAAAUUUAUCUACACAAUCAAUAUCAUCAUCUUCACUGAGGAUCUCAUUAUAA